CAGAGCUUGCACUGAAAAUCAAAUGGAGUUAGCCCUGGCUAACUCCAGGGCAGACUGAUCAAGGUGGAAUUAUUCAUCCAUCCACUGGACUCCAUGCUCUAGUGACAGCCCUAUGCCCGUCCUGCAGGGACAAGAGCUUGAGCUGUAGCACUGGUGAAGCCUGAUUUCCUGUGGAUGCUCCUCGAGGCCAUUCUCCUGGAACGGGAGUUCUCUUCCAGGAGAACAACUUACAGUCACAAAACAUAUCACUAGAAAAUGAACUAGAGGUACAAAUCAAAGCACCUGCACCAGUAGCUACACGCGCAGUAUAUUCGAUGAGAGAGCUUUUCCUCUUGGAAAUUUGACCCCAGCUGUGGUUCAGUCAAUAAGCAUCGGUCUCAACAACUGUGUUUAGGCCACAUGCCUGCUUUUCUUGAUGAGACACCAGAAGCAGAUUUAUUCAUUUUGCAAAUAAGCUAUUAGAUUAUACCUUCCUGUGUAUUUGUUUACUUUAUGAGACCUUAAAAGUACAUGUAAAUGUAUUCACCAUUGGGUAGACCUUUGUGGCAUUAAUUAAUCUGCUUGCAUCUCAUAAGGAAGGGAUGACCUGUUUGUGGGAUCAUAGAGAAGUCACAUCUAUGAGAACUGAUUUUUUUGAAUGAAGAUUCACUUACGGGACAAGCACUUCCACUUGUAUCAAUCAGUAAAGGUAUAAAGAGCAUAUUAAUGAUUAAUUCAUAAUCGCUUUUGAUUUGUAAUGUAGACUCGGGCCAGUUACAAUCUUACCAAUUUCUUAUCACUGCCUCCAGACCUGAACUGAGAACUCUAAAUGGUUGCAAUCUGAUUCUGAAAAAUUCAAUAUAAAAUGAGAUUCUGACAUAAACUGUCCUGGAUAUGAUGAAAGGAUGUGUAUGAGCAGAACUAAGCUAUUUUUGAGCUUAGGAGGCUGUCUUCGGGACUCUGAUAGGAAAUUUGUUUUUAUAGGACUAGGCUGGUAUACUGCAUCUAAUAUCCAAUUCUGCAAACACAGAAACAUAUGACUUUGACAUCAGUAGACGUACUCACACAAGUAAAAUUGCUCUCUGAUUGUACUGUUAGUAGGUUCCUAAUUAAUGAAUGUGGUUCUGGUGUUUAGUAAAUUAAGAUAGAACAGAA